CGGGCCGAAGCCGACUGGCGAGGCACUCGUCUGAUGAGCGAGGAGAGGCUGGUUCGAUUCCAGCCGGCCCGA
rnacentral:tRNA from 1 species